CCGCCGGGACGACCCGGCCACUGUCGACGGGCAACCGGACCGGGACGACCCGA
rfam:Alpha proteobacterium AAP38 AAP38_Contigs_31, whole genome shotgun sequence.